AGUCCUUGGAAACAAACACCCCUUACUCUCGCCCCCUCCUCGCCGCCCUCUCGCUCGCCGCCGCCAAGGCCUCCCGCGCCGCUCAUCUCCACCUUCUCCAACGCGCUCUCUUGCUGGCCGUCGCAUCUCCUCAGCCCAUGGAUUCAGACGCAACGCAUCUGGGCCACCACCUCUCCUCUUUUCCUCCCAGAUUCCGAUCUGGAGCAGGAGAGAUAGAGGCGGACACAAGCGCCGACGCUGGCACGGGAUGAUAGAGACGCCACCUCUCCUUACCUCGUCCCAUAUUUGGGUCGUCGAGCCGACGGGGAUGAGGGAAGAGGCAGCCGCAGCAGGCGCAGUGCUGGCAAACGCGAGCAGCAGCCACAACAGGCGGCAGUGCUGGCGAAUCGGAUGUCCAUGGUGCGUCAACCAUGAAAGAUGCAGAAGAAAAAAUCAUGUUGAUAAAAGCACACACACCCACCAGGUUCAGGUUGCUGUGACUGUGAGUCAUCAUCCCAGGAGCAGGUUCAGCUUCUGUACAUCCAUUUUUUCGGCUACUUUGCAUCUUUCAGAUCUGCGAUUACAUAUGAUGCACAUGUGGUAGCGGAAGGAGUCGGGCGCCAAGGAUGGAGGCGAAGGAGCGCGGACACCCAGCUAUGGUGGUGCUGAUGGAUGAAGAAGAUGGGGGCGAAGGGAAAAAUAAAGUCCUUUGGGUGGUGAAGGCAGAAGAUCGCUCGCAUCCCCCAUCCGUUUUAUGUGCGUUCCUUGUGGGGAAAUUGAUUGCGGGGAGAAGGGAAGAAGAUGGGAAUCGUGAAGGGCUGGAAGACAUACGCCAUUGGCAGGCGGGCCUUCUCGUAUGCCAGAAGAAUAAUGCAUCUCGCAUGAAAAAAAGACCGACUGGUUGCUGUUUGGAAACUGAUUUGUGACGUUGCAUCAUGCUGACGUGGACAGCUUGCAUGUUAAGAUAAAUCAGAUAGUGGGGGUGAACUUCUUAGGUAUAUAGGAUGUGUGACACUUAUUUUGCAACAACAACAUUUUACAAUCUUACUAAUCAGUAUGACCCAUAUUCUGCUUCUUUUCUAAAUAUUUUUCAAUAUAAUUUAUAUCUUUGGCGUUCAAUGUUUCCUAGGUCAGGUAGUGAAUCAGGAUUUUUUUCCUUCUUUGGAAAUACAUCCUCCCUUUUCAAUUUUAUAAUACCACCUCCACUAUUUCAUUUCUUAUAUGGUCGUAUUUACAGUCUGUCCUUUUAUGCUCGUGUUGUCUAAAAGGGAGUCUGAUCUAUCUUGUGUUAUGUCUUCAUUCUAAAUCUUAUUUUAGAUAAGGAGACUUUCUUGGUUGAGCAGAUGUCAUGAUUGUUGAAGCUUCCUUAUUCCUGGGAACCUUUCACAUGUUUGAUGUGUACUUUUGUUGAUUAUUCUCCGAUCGAGGCAUAAUGUUUUUUUAUGAACGGGGAGGAUGUAUUCUAACAAACCAGGAACAUGUGAGGUGUACUGCCGUACCAAUUCAUUUAACCAACAAGCCACGAAGCAUUCGUCCACACGUGAGUGUGGCCCACUAGGCACAAGCGGUCGGCGCUCGACUGCCUGGCAGUACUGCUGUCAGAUCAGGGGACGCCAGUCGAGGUAGAGGAAGACGACCACCGCUCCUGGUCCUCGAGGUCCGGGUCCGCGCUUUCCAAAGGAGCACGGUGCUUCUCAAAUAUAGAUGGAGAACUUGCCAUGGAGGCACAUAGCUUGCUGAUUUUGUUUCUGGAUUGGCCCUUGAGAGGGAGACCGACCCAAACUUCAGCAGGUUUCAGGUGUGCGUCCUCUAUUCCUUGUGUUUGUCUCCCUCGCUGAGCUUGGGCAUUGUACAUUUUGGUAAAUAUAGUCAGUUACUUUGUUUACUGGCAAUUGUGAAUAGUCAGAGCACAUACAUGCUUGGUUUUAGUUAAGUUAGUACCUGCCAUUCAGUAAUCAGGCCUGAAGAAAGUGUGCCUCCCUAUUUUGUGCACAUAAAUACUUAGCUUACUGUGACCAAAUUAAGUAAACUUAUACAAUAAGUUUCUUCAUUGUUUCACUUGUGGAAACUAAACUACUAAUGUGUUAAAUUCAUUAUAGUCAUCUUUAAAGGAGUUGUGGUUGGUUGCCAUUGUGGUGAAGUAAUUUCUUGCUGAAGCACCGGUCUAAAUUUAUCAUUGGUUUCGCUGGUGCUGCAUGUAAGCGGGGUUACUAAUUGUUCCAUUGGUUUUGCUCCGGUGAGUUCUUCCCCAUAUACCUUUGAUGCUUUUGCCUCCAUACCUUCGAGCUGGUAUUUUUUCCAAGGUUUAUCGUGUUUUCGUGGUAGUGUGACUGGCUUAGAGUUUGUAAUCAUUUAUCUUCUUCAAUGAAUGUCUGUGCUAUGAUAUUCUGUAAGGCUAGGCACACACUAAGUUGGUUAAUGCUUUUGAUCUAGCUUGUUGGGAGAUAAUGAAACAACAAUGUUUAUUUGCUCACAAUGCCUUAUGUUGAUUGUUCUGGAUAGGUAUUUUAGUCGUAAGAGAUGUCUCCAAAAAAGCAAAAACAGCAAUUCACUGUUGAUUUACUUUGCUAUGAUUGCUCCCAUUAGAUUGUCCUUAAAUCAUGUGCAAAGCUGAAGUAUUGUUCGCUGAGGAUGAUGAUGCAGAGUGUUAAAAGGCCUAUCUCCUUGGUAGAUGAAGCUUGUUGGAUUGAUUUCAGGCCAUUGAAAACAGAUGACACCAUGCCUCCCCCAGUUAAUGAACAUGUGUCGCUUCCAAGUAAUAAUGAAUUUCUCUCGCUGCCCUGCUGAACUUUCUUUUCUUUUGCCAUUUUGGCUGGUAGUCUUUCAUAGAAUUUUGUGAUAUCUACCUGACUCCACAAGGUCAUGCAACAUUAAGAAUUGCUGGGUUUGAAAAACACAGGAUGGAAUUGUUAAUUCAUUAUCUCUGUCUGAAGCAAGACAUUUUUGGUACACUGUUGAAUAGAGUUGGUGUAUCAGCAUGAGUAACAUUGCGACAUUCUAAGGGUUGGUGCUAGAAUCCCACCUAGAAACCAUUGUUUUCCAGCAACUAUGGGGUUCAUAUGUUGAUAUGAUUGUUACUAUGUGGUUGAUAUGAUUGUUUGCUGGUAGGAGAACCAGGAGGUAGUGCAAUAUCCUUAUUAGUUAUACUCAGGGAUGCAAAAUCUUCACCUGAUGAUUCCACCCCUUUUUACAUAACACUAGCUGCCGCACAGUAAAAAGUGUCUCGCCGAUGCUCUUUAUGACACCAACUGAUAGAUUACUGAGUGCACUCAUAGAGAAUAUAACAAGGUAUUUUAGGAAGUGCUUGGACUAGGUUCAAAUUUUUGACAGUCUUAGGCACGCUUUUUUUUACAGAGUUGGUUUCAAGUUUUCUUUCCGACACAGUUAGACUUUCUGAAAUACAGCCUUGAACUACACAUGAAACAAUAGUGUUUGUUUGUUCACCAGCAAGAUGAUGAUGUGAAACGAAUGACUAUUUGUGUCUUUCAGAGUUUCUACCAUUAAAUAGUUUCCCAUAACUGAGUAUUUGCUAAUAUUGGUAGCUAAAAAUGAGAUACUUAUGCUUGUUGAUGCCUUCCCUUUUUGUAGUAACAUCCAUGUGUCCAGCAUAUGUAGAAUAUUAGUUUUUCUUGGCUGUUUUUUGUAGUUCGUUCUCAAGUUUUGGAAAAUUCUUUAGCUAUAUUCCUUGUCUCAAGCGAGCAUGAGCAAUAUCUUUUUUAUGCCGCGUGCCGCCAAGUUUCUCUAUUUUAGAUGGUUGUGUAUUUUCGUUUCUAAAAGGAAUAUGUAUUUUAUUAAUCUGACUAUAAUUUGUGGUAGGUACAUACUGAAGGAUGUUCUGAGGCUAGCACCUGGUUUAGAAGUUCUGCAAUUCACAUCUCAUAAUUUUGAUUUGAUGUCCAGAAUGUCAAUUGAAGAAUGAGCCUAUGAACUGCAUUGUAUUUUGUAAUAUAUCCUUAUAUAUGGUGCUUGUGGCGUUUUUUUUGCAAUUAUAAGUUUACAUUUAUGGGUAUUAUAGAGUUCUUUCUUUUUCCACAAGGGGCAGUAGCUGUGCCAUUCGACUCGAAGGACAAAGAGUUGAUCACAAAGGGGCAGCAUUCAGGAUAUAUACACAAGAGUAUAGAACCAAAUUAUAUGAUGUAAUUGACCGCUAUUUCUAUUAACUUCUCCUGUACAAAUGUUCACGAGUUCAUGUAUUAAGUAUAUUUUAUUGUGUCA